UUCUAUUUCCUUUAGGAACUAUUUAUAUUUUCAAUUUUAUCAAAUAAUAAUAUUGAUUGCGCUUUGUCUACUAGUAAUAAGCAAUUCAUUUACACAGAAGUCGCAGCUUUGAGCUUUCUGCUUAAUUACGGCCAUUUCCAUGGCUUCGAGAACCCAGAGCAACGGACGCAGCUUCGAAUUGGAGCUCCAACUCGAACAAGAAGUGGAAAAUAAGGUAAUUCAAUAUUUCUGAUUUCCUUUUUUUGGUCGGGACAUCGCUUCGAAGAUUAACAAAUUCGGACUUUUUUACUGUGACUUAGGUCAAAUUUCGCCUUUUCCGUUUCGAUUGCCAUAUUGAUUAGAGUUAUGAUUUGGUUAAUUGUGGAACAAUAUGUGAAUUUUGAUUGAGGAUUAACAAUAUUCAAUACUAGGGGUUUUUCUAAUUUGUCAAUUUGGAUGAUGAUAGUACACUAUUAUAUUUUUAAUCAAUUAAAUGUAAUUUUCUCCAUGUCCUCUUGAGAAUAUAUGCUGAGGGAUUAUAUUGAUUUGUUGCAUUUUUUUUUUUUGUAUUCAUGUGAUGUGAAUUCAGAACUCAAAGCUUCGCGAAGUUGUUCUUUAUCUAUGUUGAGCUGGAUUUACUGUCUUUGCUGUUCUUCCUUCAGCCCCCAACCGUUGAGAAGGAUGCGGAAGAUUCAAUCGAAUCAUCCCCUAAUCGAGAAAUGACCACGUACUCGCAGCAUUACUUUGGCAGUAUCAGAGAUGGUUUCUCCAUCAGCAUCAUUGAGGUAUUACGAGGAAGUGGCAAAUGUGCUUUAUGUUUAGUAUUUUCUGAUAUACAUU
rnacentral:lncRNA from 1 species